rnacentral:lncRNA from 1 species
AGUAUCCUACUAAAUGCACUUAUGCUUCUAAAUGUUUAUAUAUUUUGGUAAAAUUGAUUUACUAGAUCUUUAGUAUUGUAUUUUAGUAAGGUAAAUUUUCCUCAGAUAUUUGAUUAAUGCUUUGAUGUCAAGAUUGCACAUUUUUUAGUUAGAACUCAGAAGCUAUUAUGCAGCUUGGGGCAUUUUCAACUGCAGGAUGCCCGCAGUUUUCUUGACUAAAUUGCACUGUGUGUUCUCGUGUAUCAGCUCCCACCUCAGUAGCCAUGAUGCUUCUGUCACUAACUGCUGGCUCUCUGGUGGCAGUAUUCUGUCGUGUGACCACUAUGUACUUCCUAAGCCAUCCGCUUGUAAUGGCAUUUUGGUUGCCACCAAAAAUAACACAAAGGGGCCUGAGUAUACGCUGUUGCAAGCUGUAUACUUCAUUUCCUUCGGCUGGUUUAUGCACGCACACAAGUUUCUUGUUAAAGAUUGAAGCACUCAGCCAUGAAAUAACAAUUGGCCAGAAAUACCCUAAAUUGCCUUUACCAAAAGAAAAAAAAAAAAAAAAAAAAAAGCAGGAAGCGAUGCCCAGGCCAGAUAGCUCUUUCCAGCAGCAUCAGGUUCAAUCGGUGAAUAACAAGCAGCGCUCAGCGUACAUACGUGGGCUCUCCUCAGGAUUAUUUAAUGUCAUAACUACUGCUUUUGUAUUUUUUAAUGAUGUUUUGAUGAAACCACUUCUAAGUCUGCUAUAGAUUACUGACAAGGCCAGACAGCUGAAAACGACAGGGGAAGGAAGUUCCGUUCUACUGUAAGACUUGACUUAUGUUCGCCCUUCCUUAUAUACUGCUAGAAAGGAAAGUGCUUUGUAAAGCAUUAAAGUCUGGAAAGUAUGCACAGCACAGGACCUGAACUUUUUAAUUUGUACGUUUUGCUGUCUGGUCAUUUGCAUGGGAGAAACAGCAGUGCCACACCUAAUUUGUUCUCUGGCGCUUCGUUAGUGUGUGCUGUUUCCAAUGGCAUUCUUUACUUUUCAGUUUUCAGAGGCAUUCAAAGCAAACUCUGCUGUCAGUGGACCAUUGUUUUCCGACCAUCUAAAAAAUACCUGUGAUUAAACUUAACUUGUUAGUGUAAAUAAAUCUCUUGCCAAUGAGUAUUAUUGUUGUUAGAUAAUGAAUGCAAUAAAGGAAAUACAGAGG